rnacentral:lncRNA from 1 species
GUCUCAAUGCCUACAUGGGUCUGGACACCAGGGAUGGGAGCAGACGUGUGUGUGCUCCGCAGCCAGCCCAGCUGGCAACUGGGGAAGAAAUGGAACCGUCAUGAGGUCAUUUUGAGCCAUGAGGCAGCCCCUCAGGGGACCAGAUGGGUGGAGAAGCCCACCUUCCCCUCCUCCCCUGGCUCUGCCGAGGUGGCCUCCCUCUUCCAUGAGGCCCAUUGCCUGGAGCCCACAUCACACUUCUCCUUCCAGGGUACCUGAAAAGGCUGCUCUCAGGGAAGGGUGUGCAGAGCCCCUGGGGUGGGGAACUGCUGUCAGGGAGGGGAGUUCAGAGCACCUGGGGAGGGAGCUGCUCUCAGGCCAGGGUGUGCAGAGCCCCUGGGGAG